rnacentral:rRNA from 1 species
UACGAAGGGGGCUAGCGUUGUUCGGAAUUACUGGGCGUAAAGCGCACGUAGGCGGGUUAUUAAGUCAGGGGUGAAAUCCCAGAGCUCAACUCUGGAACUGCCUUUGAUACUGGUAAUCUAGAGAUCGGAAGAGGUUAGUGGAAUUCCCAGUGUAGAGGUGAAAUGCGUAGAUAUUGGGAAGAACACCAGUGGCGAAGGCGGCUAACUGGUCCGAUACUGACGCUGAGGUGCGAAAGCGUGGGGAGCAAACAGG